ensembl:miRNA Mir702 microRNA mir-702
CGGGACAAGGUGAGUGGGGUGGUUGGCAUGGGUUGCCAAGUCCGGGGACUUGAUGCUGUGUCGACAGCUUCCUGUUGUCC